GGCAACCUGGUGUAAUGGUUUGAGCAUUGGACUAUGACUCUGGAGACCAAGGUUCGAAUCCCUACUUAGCCA